rnacentral:rRNA from 1 species
GAAGGAUCAUUACCGAACUGUCAACACGAGUUGUUGCUGGUCCCCAACCGGGGGCAUGUGCACGCUCUGUUCACACAUCCACCCACACCUGUGCACCCUCUGUAGUUCUAUGGCCUGGGUGACUUUGUCCCCUUGCUGUGGUUCUACGUAUUUACACACACACUGCCAUAAAGUCUCAUGGAAUGUUUGUCGCGUUUAACGCAAUACAAUACAACUUUCAGCAACGGAUCUCUUGGCUCUCGCAUCGAUGAAGAACGCAGCGAAAUGCGAUAAGUAAUGUGAAUUGCAGAAUUCAGUGAAUCAUCGAAUCUUUGAACGCACCUUGCGCCCUUUGGCUAUUCCGAAGGGCAUGCCUGUUUGAGUAUCAUGAACACCUCAACUCCUCAUGGUUUGCCAUGAUGAGCUUGGACCUUGGGGGUAUUGCUGGCCCUGUGGUUGGCUCCUCUCAAAUGGAUCAGCUUGCCAGUGUUUGGUGGCAUCACAGGUGUGAUAAAUAUCUACGCUUGUGGUUUUCCACCAUGUAACCUUCAGCGAUGAAGGUGCACUGGAGCUCACAAAUGUCCCUCCUCAGUGAGGACAGCUUUUGAACGUUUGAUCUCAAAUCAGGUAGGAUUACCCGCUGAACUUAAGC